GGGGUUGUGGCUCAGUAGUAGAGCGCUUGUCUUGAAUGAAUGAGGUACUGGGUUCGAUCCUCAGCACCACA
rnacentral:tRNA from 1 species